GUAGGGAAUAUUGGACAAUGGGGGGAACCCUGAUCCAGCCAUGCCGCGUGGAGGAAGACUGCCCUCUGGGUUGUAAACUCCUUUUAUAUGGGAAGAACCGUCCUCAUUAAUGAGUGACCUGACGGUACCAUAGGAAUAAGCACCGGCUAACUCCGUGCCAGCAGCCGCGGUAAUACGGAGGGUGCAAGCGUUAUCCGGAUUCACUGGGUUUAAAGGGUGCGUAGGCGGAUAAAUAAGUCAGUGGUGAAAUCAACGGGCUCAACCUGUUAACUGGCAUUGAUACUGUGUAUCUUGAAUAUGCGAGAGGUAGGCGGAAUGUUGCAUGUAGCGGUGAAAUGCUUAGAUAUGCUACGGAACACCGAUUGCGAAGGCAGCUUACUAUUUCGUAAUUGACGCUGAGGCACGAAAGCGUGGGUAGCGAACAGGAUUAGAUACCCCGGUAGUCC
rnacentral:rRNA from 1 species